CCCUUAGAUGUUCUGGGCCGCACGCGCGCUAAACUGACGGAUUCAACGAGCUUACAACCUUGGCCGAAAGGUCUGGGUAAUCUCCAAAAUCCGUCGUGAUGGGGAUAGAUUAUUGCAAUUAUUAAUCUUCAACGAGGAAUGCCUAGUAAGCGCAAGUCAUCAGCUUGCGUUGAUUACGUCCCUGCCCUUUGUACACACCGCCCGUCGCUCCUACCGAUUGAAUGGUCCGGUGAAGCGUUUGGACUAUGGUUUUCUGAUGGUCCGCCGUUGGAUUACCGUGGGAAGUUCGUUAAACCUUAUCAUUUAGAGGAAGGAGAAGUCGUAACA
rnacentral:rRNA from 1 species